GAUGAGCGCUGGCGGCGUGCCUAAUACAUGCAAGUCGAGCGAACGGACGAGAAGCUUGCUUCUCUGAUGUUAGCGGCGGACGGGUGAGUAACACGUGGAUAACCUACCUAUAAGACUGGGAUAACUUCGGGAAACCGGAGCUAAUACCGGAUAAUAUUUUGAACCGCAUGGUUCAAAAGUGAAAGACGGUCUUGCUGUCACUUAUAGAUGGAUCCGCGCUGCAUUAGCUAGUUGGUAAGGUAACGGCUUACCAAGGCAACGAUGCAUAGCCGACCUGAGAGGGUGAUCGGCCACACUAGAACUGAGACACGGUCCAGACUCCUACGGGAGGCAGCAGUAGGGAAUCUUCCGCAAUGGGCGAAAGCCUGACGGAGCAACGCCGCGUGAGUGAUGAAGGUCUUCGGAUCGUAAAACUCUGUUAUUAGGGAAGAACAUAUGUGUAAGUAACUGUGCACAUCUUGACGGUACCUAAUCAGAAAGCCACGGCUAACUACGUG
rnacentral:rRNA from 1 species